GAUGAAGAACGCAGCGAAAUGCGAUAAGUAAUGUGAAUUGCAGAAUUCAGUGAAUCAUCGAAUCUUUGAACGCACAUUGCGCCCGCCAGUAUUCUGGCGGGCAUGCCUGUUCGAGCGUCAUUCCAACCAUCAAGCCCCGGGCUUGUGUUGGGGACCUGCGGCUGCCGCAGGCCCUGAAAUGCAGUGGCGGGCUCGCUGUCACUCCGAGCGUAGUAGUUACAUCUCGCUCUGGGCGUGCUGCGGGUUCCGGCCGUUAAAAGCCUUAUUUACCCAAGGUUGACCUCGGAUCAGGUAGGAAGACCCGCUGAACUUAAGCAUAUCAAUAAGCGGAGGA
rnacentral:misc_RNA from 1 species